GCUAAGUGGCGCAGCGGAAGCGCGCCGGGCUCAUAACCCGGAGGACCUCUGAUGUGGGAUUCAACACCUCUUCCA